GACGAACGCUGGCGGCGUGCCUAAUACAUGCAAGUAGAACGCACAGUUUAUACCGUAGCUUGCUACACCAUAGACUGUGAGUUGCGAACGGGUGAGUAACGCGUAGGUAACCUGCCUGGUAGCGGGGGAUAACUAUUGGAAACGAUAGCUAAUACCGCAUAAUAUUAAUUAUUGCAUGAUGAUUAAUUGAAAGGUGCAAUUGCACCACUACCAGAUGGACCUGCGUUGUAUUAGCUAGUAGGUGAGGUAACGGCUCACCUAGGCGACGAUACAUAGCCGACAUGAGAGGGUGAUAGGCCACACUGGGACUGAGACACGGCCCAGACUCCUACGGGAGGCAGCAGUAGGGAAUCGUCGGCAAUGGACGAAAGUCUGACCGAGCAACGCCGCGUGAGGGAAGAAGGUUUUCGGAUCGUAAAGCUCUGUUGUAAGAGAAGAACGGGUGUGAGAGUGGAAAGUUCACACUGUGACGGUAACUUACCAGAAAGGGACGGCUAACUACGUG
rnacentral:rRNA from 1 species